CCGAUUUGGAAAGGCAGGUGGACUAACCAUUUCUGACCCUGAUUGGACGAAACCGUGGGGAGGCGAACCAGGAUUUAGAUUACCCUGGUAGUCCCCCCCGUUAAACCGAUGGAUACUAGCUUUUCCCGGGCCCUUGAGGCCUGGGGCGGCCAGCGAAAGUGAUAAGUUUCCCACCUGGGAAGUACGUUCGCAAGAAUGAAACUCAAACUAUUGACCGGGGGCCCGCACAAGCGGUGGAGCAUGUGGUUAAUCGAUGAUCCGCGAGGAACCUUACCAGGGCUUAAAUGCAUAUUGACAGGGCCAGGGAUGGCCUUUUCCUUCGGGCAAUUUGCAAGGUGCUGCAUGGUUGUCGUCAGCUCGUGCCGUGAGGUGUCAGGUUAAGUCCUAUAACGAGCGCAACCCCUGCCGUUAGUUGCCAGCAUGUAAAGAUGGGGACUCUAACGGGACUGCCGGUGCAAACCGUGAGGAAGGUGGGGAUGACGUCAAAUCAUCACGGCCCUUACGUCCUGGGCCACACACGUGCUACAAUGGCCGGUACAGAGAGCAGCCACGUCGCAAGGCGGAGCGAGUCUAUAAAACCGGUCACAGUUCGGAUCGGGGUCUGCAACUCGACCCCGUGAAGCUGGAAUCGCUAGUAAUCGGAUAUCAGCCAUGAUCCGGUGAAUACGUUCCCGGGCCUUGUACACACCGCCCGUCAAGCCAUGGAGGCCGGGAGUGCCUGAAUGUCCGUCACCGUAAAGG
rnacentral:rRNA from 1 species